CGGGUGAGUAACACGUGGGUUACCUGCCCCGAUGAUUGGGACAACCCGAGGAAACUCGGGCUAAUACCAAAUGUGCUCCUGGCCGUAAUGGCCUUGAGGAAAGGAAGCUUCGGCCUCCGCAUCGGGAUGGGCCCGCGGCCCAUUAGCUAGUUGGUGGGGUAACGGCCUACCAAGGCUACGAUGGGUAGCUGGUCUGAGAGGACGAUCAGCCACACUGGGACUGAGACACGGCCCAG
rnacentral:rRNA from 1 species